rnacentral:lncRNA from 1 species
GCCUCGCCUUAAAGGCAGAAAAAAUCUUUGUAGCCCGCUUCUAUAUGCAGCUCCAAAAAAUGUGCCCCGUCUUCGUUUUGCUCCGGCCCGGUAUAAAAAUAAAUUUUGCAUGGUCCCUAACUAUAUUAAGCACAGAUUGCACAGCUAUACUGACUAUGCUAUCACCGUAAAAUAAAACAAAUAAAACAAAGCUAAAUAGGUUAAAAUGGGUAUACUCACACCGAAUCUGAAAAGAAAAUUCCAACGAACAAGAGUAAGAUAUAGUUUGCUGUGUUCAUCUUGAGAGUCAG